UGCUAGUACCCUCCGUACGUACACACGCGC
rnacentral:sRNA from 1 species